UCCAUUAAUCGCCGUUCUACAGAAGAAAUUAAAGAAGAAUAAAAAGAAGGAAAUGGAAAGGUGUGGAUCGGAGAAGAACAUGCCGGGAUUCCGGUUCCAUCCGGCGGAGGAGGAGCUUUUCGAGUUCUAUCUCCGGCGAUCAGUCACCGGGAAAAACCGGAGCUUUAGCAUCAUUUCCACCACCAAUCUCUGCCUCUAUGAUCCCUGGGAUCUCCCAGCUUUGGCUAAGAUGGGGGAGAGGAAUAGUACUUCUUCGUGCCAAGGGACCGGCGACGAGGGAACGGAGAUCGGCCGAAUCGGACGACGGAGAGAGGUUUCUGGAAAGCUACCAGUUCCGAUCGGUCCAUUCGUAGUGUGGCUGAUCCCCGUCGUCUCGUCUAAUCGGCUUGAAGAAGACUCUUAUUUACUACCGCGGAAGAGUCCCUCCAGGGACCAAAACAGAGUGGGUGAUGAAUGAAUAUCGCCUCCCUGAUAUUUCCAGCUCUGAUUCAACGGCAUCUACGCCCCCUCUGUUUCAAAAUGCAACGUUAAGUAGUUUUCGUAGUUUAAAAUUUUCAUUUUUGCGCUGAUUUUCCUAUUUCUUACCAUGCAUCAGUCUAUCAUUCAGUACCAUUUCUGUUGAUUUCCUAACUCGAUCGGAAUUAUUAUUGUUGGCUGUAAAGAGUGAUAAAGUUUAAUGUCAUAAUUUUGUUGGAAGAUGCAGCAGACAGAUAAAUAGUAAUUAAAGGUGUAUCAUUCAUAAAAAAACACUGGUUUUAACGUGGAAAUUUUUGAAAAAAAGGAAAAAAUUAUGGUGCCUUAUCAGUUUAAAUGAAUUCACAAGUGUUUGUAGUCGAUUACAAAUGAGUCG